rnacentral:tmRNA from 1 species
GGGGAUGCAUCGCAUCGACAAGAAGGCACAUUAAAAAACUGCAAGCCGACAAUGAUUGAAAGUCGCAAAACCAAUCAAAUUUAAAUGCUAGAAAUAGCGUUUCAGCCUUAAGAGCGGAAAGAGAUUCAAUUCUCGCCGUACUUUUUGGCGUUCAACCAAGCCUUAGGCUAGCAAUAGCUUAAGCUUCAAGAACUGUUUAUGGAAUCUUUUCUCAAUGGGAUUUUAUAAGCAUCAAUACAGUUGAGAAAUUGGUAAGGAAAAUGGUUUGGUCCUUAUUGAAUUUAUAAACCUUGACUUUACUUAUGGAUGUUUGUUUUCAAAGAGUAAAGUGAUCAAAAAAAUAACAAACCAAGCUUGUAGAAGUUUUUUAAAUUCUUUCUUGCACUCCGGGUCACUCUCGGACAUCUCCACAC